AACGAACGCUGGCGGCGUGGAUAAGACAUGCAAGUCGAACGGUAACAGGUCCAGCAAUGGAUGCUGACGAGUGGCGCACGGGUGCGUAACACGUAUGCAAUCUACCCUUAACUGGGGGAUAGCCCCGAGAAAUCGGGAUUAAUACCCCAUAAUAUUAUGAUGAAGCAUUUCAUUAUAAUUAAAGCUCCGGCGGUUUUGGAUGAGCAUGCGCGACAUUAGCUAGUUGGUGAGGUAACGGCUCACCAAGGCUUCGAUGUCUAGGGGUUCUGAGAGGAUUCACCCCCACACUGGUACUGAGACACGGACCAGACUCCUACGGGAGGCAGCAG
rnacentral:rRNA from 1 species